rnacentral:rRNA from 1 species
AUUGAACGCUGGCGGCAUGCUUUACACAUGCAAGUCGAACGGUAACAGGCCUUCGGGUGCUGACGAGUGGCGAACGGGUGAGUAAUGCAUCGGAACGUGCCCAAUCGUGGGGGAUAACGUAGCGAAAGUUACGCUAAUACCGCAUAAGCCCUGAGGGGGAAAGCAGGGGAUCGCAAGACCUUGCGCGAAUGGAGCGGCCGAUGUCAGAUUAGCUAGUUGGUGGGGUAAAAGGCCUACCAAGGCGACGAUCUGUAGCGGGUCUGAGAGGAUGAUCCGCCACACUGGGACUGAGACACGGCCCAGACUCCUACGGGAGGCAGCAGUGGGGAAUUUUGGACAAUGGGCGCAAGCCUGAUCCAGCCAUGCCGCGUGCGGGACGAAGGCCUCGGUUGUAACGCUUCAGCCGAAGAAUCGCCAAGGCUAAUAUCCUUGUGGAUGACGGUACCGGAAGAAGAAGCACCGGCUAACUACGUGCCAGCAGCCGCGGU